rnacentral:lncRNA from 1 species
GGGCGCAGGUGGAAGAAAGGAGGGAAACGUGGGCGAGAAUAAAAGAGAAAAGAGGGGCUGUUGGCACGUGGGUUGGAGAGAGGGUAGAGAACACCAUCGGAAAUGGAGAAGGAAUAGAGAAAUAGGAAGAACAAAGGAGAACGUGUUAAAGGCUCACUGUAUCUUUGCCUUUACUCUGUGUCUUUACACCUUAGGACACAGGUUGGAAUCCGAUGUUUUAUGGGCCACUGUCCUAACUUCAUUGUUGGACAUUUCCCAGUUUUCCACUAGGGUUGCUUGUGGCAAAAGAAAGGAGCAUCAGAACCAGCAAGAGUGGAAACAGCCUGAAAGUAUCAGCGUAGACUCCACACCCCCAGCCCCACUCUGGGCAGUUCCUCUGUCUUCGGCUGCGGCUUCUUUUUAGAGAAGGCCCUGAACCUUAGUUGUGGGCCCAGGCAACAGAAAGGUCCUGAGCUCAUUUUGCCUGGGAGUGCUUUCUGCUGUUUGUCUUUGGGGUGCCAGGGGUCAGUGUAAUUUUUGUGUGUCCAUGUGCAAUGGUGGGAAGAACCUAGAAAAAGUGCCUGUUAUAAGAGCAAACCCAAGUGCUUUCUGAGAAAGGUAGAUAGCUGGUUAUGUUCCUAGUCGAGCGAUGAGGCUGACUCCACAAAGGAAGAAGCCUCUGGCUCAGAAAAUGGAAGGGUUUAUCGUCCGUAAAAGGGCAAAUCGGAAGGUCAUGAGGUGAUUCUGAGGGAUUCUGAUAAGAGAGGAAUAUUUUCAGUUUUGUUCCUGGGAGAUUCCAUCUGGCUGAAUUACAAGGAAAGGUUAAAAAGGAACAGGCUUGAGUCAGGGAGACUAGUUAAAAGCUCUUGUACCAAGCAAUGUUGUCUGUUGGCAGAAAGCAUGGCCUUAGGGCUGAUAAUAAGCAGUACUUAUGGAAGACUGGCUCGUUUCAUGCUACACACCCCGCUAUGCUCUGCAUAAAUCAGCCCAUUAAAUCUUCACCAUGACCCUAGGUUAUAGGUACUACUAUUAUCACCCAUACUUUGCACAUGAGGACAUGAAAACCGUACCAUGGUUCAGAAGGUGGCGUCAGCUGAAGCAAUCCCUGUGAACAUUUAGGCAACUCUACCCGGAGCCUGUGUUCUUUACUAGUCAACUCUGUUGUCUCUUUAGGGAAGGACAAAAGUUGACAGCUCCAAGAGAUUUAAAACCACUUAGACUCUGCUGGACUUAAUGCUUGCAUGGAUUCUCCCAGAAUGAAAGAGGCAAAAAUGAAAAAGAAUGUUGAUGUUUCUGGCUUAGGUGUAUGUGUGUGUCAUGGUUCUAACCACUCAAAGAAGAAAAACAUCAGAACAAAUAGAUUUAGAUAAAGGAAAUAAAUAUGAAAAGCUCUGCUUGCAAAAUGUAGAUUUCCAGGUGCCAGUAAAGGAGCAUUGAAGAAGGGAUUUCUCAACUGCAGACGAGUAGGCAGCAUCCUCUGGGCUGAGAUGCCUGAGUUGGAGCUGAACUGGAGUCCUCUGCACAGUGGUGCUGAUUGAAGCCAUAAAAGCUGAUGAUGAUGCCUCAUGGGAUGGUGAGGAAUGAGCAGAGAAAGACCAGGUUGGAUCGCUCAGGAAUAGUAGGAUUUAAGGUCAGGCUGAAGGAAAGAAGCUUGCAAUGACCUGUGAAGUAGUGGAUAUUGAUAUAAAAAGAAAGGCAGGGUAACAGGUGAUUGCAGAAGCACUUCAUGAACGAUGUUAUGACCAAAAGGUGAAAUGCUGAGCAGAGUUCCAGAAACACUGCAAUGAGCACAAAGGAGGUUAUAGAAACUUUAGUGCAAACUGUUUCGGGGCACUGCUGAUGAGCAAAGCCACAUACCAGGAGGUUGGAACGUAAAUUGGAGGUUAGAAAGAGGAGAUCACAAACCUAGACUGCACUUUCAAGAAAUUGGGUGAAGGAGAGAGAAAAGUGAACAACAUAUUGGGGCCAGGAGUGGUGCCUCACGCCUGUAAUCCCAGCACUUUGGGAAGUGAGACGGUGUAUCACUUGAGCUCAGAUGAUCAAGACAAGCCUGGGUAACAUAGUGAGAGCCUGUCUCUAUUUUUUUUUAAAAAGUGAACAACAUAUUGUAAGUAGUUUUCUGAUUUAGAUUAUUGCUUCCAAUAGAUGUAUACUGUUCUAUAGUAUGGAAGCAAAUAUUUAUUUAACAAUUUUCCUCAUGUA